rnacentral:lncRNA from 12 species
CUUCAACUCCGAGUGCCAACAUGAAAACACGCAAAAGCCUGUUUUCCAACUUGUAGAUCAGAAAACAGGCCUGAUACUGGGAGACAUGUUUUCAUAUCAAGUACGCAGCAUUCUGACAAAGCUCCUCCGUCCCCACCUUUCUCAGCUGGUGAAAUAGAGACUGUCUUAAAACUGAUUACAAUCUGGCAAAAAGGUGGGUAGUAUUGCUCUAAGAUGUAAAUUGCCCAACUACAAUUCUUGCUAUCAAAGGCACCACACUCUAAAGCUUUAGUCAUUUCAGAGGCAGAGAUCUGUUUCCUUUGUAUUGUAAUCUUUAGACAAGAAGAUUCAUGCUCAUAAACAUGCACAACAAUAAAGCUACCCAGGGCAGAUGAAAUAGGUACGUU